rnacentral:rRNA from 1 species
UACGAAGGGGACUAGCGUUGUUCGGAAUUACUGGGCGUAAAGGGCGCGUAGGCGGCUUUGUGCGUUAGAUGUGAAAGACCUGGGCUUAACCUGGGAAGUGCAUUUAAUACGGCAAGGCUAGAGGACGAGAGAGGAAAGUGGAAUGAUGCAUGUAGAGGUGAAAUUCGUAGAUAUGCAUUGGAACACCAGUGGCGAAGGCGACUUUCUGGCUCGUAACUGACGCUAAGGCGCGAAAGCGUGGGGAGCAAACAGG